GCCCGGUGAGGGGCGCGUGACGGAGCCGCCGGCGGGAGGGGUGGCUGCGACCCCGCCCCGCGCACACCCCCAGCUCCCGCGCCCACAGCUCCGCCCCCGGCCGCGGCCGGCGCCGCCUCCAGGGGAGCUAUUGUUCCUGCGACAGGGCAGGGGCGCGGGGGCCGGGGUUGGGGCCACCCCUCGGGGGUAGGCUGCACCGUAACAGACUUGUUUGCCGCCCUUUGUGAGCUGUUUUUGAAGCGUUUCCUUCGCCCAGCAGCAGGGCUGGGAAUGAGGGCAGGUGGUCUGUCAUAUAUCUAUAAUAGUUUUUAGGUGGAAGAAACUGAGUCACGGAAGAGGCCUCGGAGGGAGUUUUCAUUCUUAUCUCCAUUCUACAGAUGAGGAAGUAGGGACCCAGAGAGGCAAGGUGAUCUGACUCCCAGUCCAGUGCUCUUCCUACCACAUCCUGCUAGGUGAUACCUAGACAUAGGGUCUCACUUCAUCACCCAGGCAUGAUCACAAGACUCUGUCUCAAAGAAAAAAAAAAAACGAUUUUAAAUUGUACUUUCAUCAUACUUUUUAUACAAAUAAAUUCACAUUUUUUAACAUUUUA